rnacentral:rRNA from 1 species
UAAGGAGGGUGCGAGCGUUAAUCGGAAUUACUGGGCGUAAAGGGCGCGUAGGCGGUGGGUUACGUCUGCCGUGAAAUCCCCGGACUCAACCUGGGAAUGGCGGUGGAAACGGGCUGACUGGAGUAUGGGAGGGGGUGAUGGAAUUCCAGGUGUAGCGGUGAAAUGCGUAGAGAUCUGGAGGAACACCAGUGGCGAAGGCGGUCGCCUGGCCCAAUACUGACGCUGAGGCGCGAAAGCGUGGGGAGCAAACAGG